UAAAUACAGAAAACGAAAUGUCUUCUACCCUGUCAUGUCAUCGUCGGUUCACUGAUUCUCUCUCUAUGUUAUUAUUCUCAAACAUGGCCUCCGACAAUUUGACCAACAACAACGCUGUCUUGAAAAAGCUUAAAGCCAAUGAGGACUGCCGACGCAUUCGAUUUUGGUACAGAUGGUUGGUGUGCUCCUCAAUUUCGCAUGAUUCAUAGCUUGGUUGCGAUUAGCCGGCUCAGAUGGUUGGCGUGCUCCUCGAUUUGGUGGGGGAUGGAGUCUUUGAUUUGCUGUGGGGGAUGGAGUCUUCGAUUUGCUGUGGGUGUUUGGCCUGAUUCAUAGCUUGGUUACGAUCGGUCGGCUCAGGAUGGGGUUAGGCUGUUAGAUCAGAGUGUGUUUGAUCUUGGCUAAAACCAUUAUAUCAAAUGCUGCUACCCUUUCAUUCAUGCCUCUUCGACGAUACAUUUUUUUAUCCGAGCAAGGGGAUUAAAAACUAGGUCAACAAUGAAUUGCAGAUGACCAGACGGUCAUGCGUCAUGACUCAUGCCAAUGUUGCUUAACUCUUGCUUUCUGUGAAAGUUCUAGGUAGGAGUGAAGCUGUCAGAUGGAAGGGAGUUGUUGACCAAAACCAUAAGAUCAAAUGUUCCUAGAUCGGCUACCUUUGGAAGAUUAAUUUCAAGAGUAUGUUAAGGCCCCAUCCUUUCUUUCUACUCACAUGUGUGUUAAGCUGAUGUUUUGGCGCCAGCUACAGGUUGUCACCAUUUUCUCAGGAGGUUCGAGCAAUUGGAGGUGCCUGGCAUAAGGUCCUUUUUUACCAUGAUAGUUGCCUCAAUCUCGGAUAUAAAUUUUUCCAAGAAUGAAAGACAUGUACUUAGUCGUGACCAUGUGACUAUCGAGGUUCCACUGGCAGAGGAACAUAAUACCCUUGCAGCAAGUCCAGCCAAUCCACUGGAAUUAUAUGGUAAUGCCUCCUUUUGUCUAAGUUAAUUGUUAUGGUAUUUUGAGGGAUUAUAUCGUCCCUACACGAGCCCUAAUGUUCAGAAUUAUUUUGAUGUUCUGGCAUAGUAGGUUUGUUUUAUUCUCCUUCUCCUCUUUAAUUUUUUUUUUAAAAAUAUUUUGUUUACCUAGAAUUGAUUUUAGGUUCAUGAGUUCAUCGGCUGGAGCAUUCAUUGUAUAAUAUCUUCUUCUAUUGACAUACUACUAUUAUAUAAUAUAUACAUCCAAUGUAUAUAUUCGUGGAUUGAAUUUUGGAUUGAUUUCUUUUUCUUAUGUUGUUUGGUUACAUGAAACUUUUAAUUUUCCGUUUUUAUUUGAAUUAAUUUAUAAGGGCUGUUGACUGCCCUGAAAUAAUGAACUUUAAUCUGAUAUGAGUUUGGUCAUGUUUUGACAUUUAAGGUAUGAUUGUUGGUUUUUUUUUUUUUUCUUUUCUUGAUCUUUCUGUCUUUAAAUUGAGCUGUUUAAAUUGGGAAGUCAUUGCAUAUGACAAACUUUGUGUAGGAGAAAAAAAAGUUGGUGUAGUAAUUGAGGUCUUACUGAAAGAAAUAUUGGUAUUGUGCUUCUAAUCUGCUGAAUGUUACAGAUUUUACAACACAAAAAAAUGAAGGGUCAAGAAAAGGCUCUGAGUCCUUAAUAUGAGUUUUGUAGUUGUCUUUGUUGUUGGUAACUCUGCAACCGACUCUCAAUUAAUAUAAUUGGUUUAUGUUUCUGAGUUGGUGCUGAUUGUCAAUGGGAGAUUAAAGGUGUAAUCAUGGUCCUCUAUGGAGAAAAAAAAACAGGAGCCAAAGAGAGGAGGUUAAGGGGCCCGUGAGUCCCAGAUUACAAAUGGCCCAAGUCCUAGAUAAAUCUUUACUUCCUCCAGGAGAAAGAAGACUAAUUUCAUCUCUGUUAUCCAAGUCUUUCUCCUCUACUUGACUUGGUUAAUCACCAAGUAUGAUUAGCCUCUUCGUGGUGAUACAGAUUUCUAUUUGGUCCAUUUUGUAAGCAAUUAUGACCGAAACACUCUGAUACUUGCAUAAACCCAUUUGUUUUCUUUUAGUUAAGAGGUUCCUUUUUAAUUUCCACAUAGCUUUAAAAAUGCGUUUGUGUGCAUACAAAUUUGUGGGGCGAUCAAACUCUAUUCACGGAAAGUACCGGUGAUGCUUCACUUUAGUUGCUGGGAUUGUAAAAUUACAAUAAAUUUUA